rnacentral:misc_RNA from 1 species
CGCCCCCAUCAAUCUACUCUUAGCCACCAACCCAUCCUUCCUCUGCUGGGAUUCGAUUCUCUGCCUCUCCUCUUCACGCCGAGUAGAGGCCACCAGCACACUAUAAAAAUCUCUGUUCUUGCACUCCAACAACGACUCCCUAUCCUUGAGAGGCCUCUCCAUGGAGUAUAUCAUAGUAAUGGGAUCCUCCUCUUUACCAU